CCUACGGGAGGCAGCAGUAAGGAAUAUUGGUCAAUGGACGCAAGUCUGAACCAGCCAUGCCGCGUGAAGGAUUAAGGUCCUCUGGAUUGUAAACUUCUUUUAUAUGGGACGAAAACAGAUCUUUCUAGGUCCUUUGACGGUACCAUAUGAAUAAGCACCGGCUAACUCCGUGCCAGCAGCCGCGGUAAUACGGAGGGUGCAAGCGUUAUCCGGAUUCACUGGGUUUAAAGGGUGCGUAGGCGGGUAGGUAAGUCAGUGGUGAAAUCCUGGAGCUCAACUCCAGAACUGCCAUUGAUACUAUCUAUCUUGAAUAUUGUGGAGGUAAGCGGAAUAUGUCAUGUAGCGGUGAAAUGCUUAGAUAUGACAUAGAACACCCAUUGCGAAGGCAGCUUACUACGCAUAUAUUGACGCUGAGGCACGAAAGCGUGGGGAUCAAACAGGAUUAGAUACCCUGGUAGUCCACGCCCUAAACGAUGGAUACUCGACAUACGCGAUACACAGUGUGUGUCUGAGNGAAGANAUAGUAUCCACCGCGGAGUACGUCGCGAGAAGUAGAACGUACGAAAGAAAGUUAGUACGGACGUUAGGAGACGUUAGGACCGACGGACGACGACGAGGGGAGGUUAGG
rnacentral:rRNA from 1 species